ACUCCUACGGGAGGCAGCAGUGGGGAAUAUUGGACAAUGGGCGAAAGCCUGAUCCAGCAAUGCCGCGUGAGUGAUGAAGGCCUUAGGGUUGUAAAGCUCUUUUACCCGGGAUGAUAAUGACAGUACCGGGAGAAUAAGCCCCGGCUAACUCCGUGCCAGCAGCCGCGGUAAUACGGAGGGGGCUAGCGUUGUUCGGAAUUACUGGGCGUAAAGCGCGCGUAGGCGGCUUUGUAAGUUAGAGGUGAAAGCCCGGAGCUCAACUUCGGAAUUGCCUUUAAGACUGCAUCGCUAGAAUCGUGGAGAGGUGAGUGGAAUUCCGAGUGUAGAGGUGAAAUUCGUAGAUAUUCGGAAGAACACCAGUGGCGAAGGCGACUCACUGGACACGUAUUGACGCUGAGGUGCGAAAGCGUGGGGAGCAAACAGGAUUAGAAACCCUUGUAGUCCCAUGAU
rnacentral:rRNA from 1 species